rnacentral:sRNA from 1 species
AUUUAGCCCUGAUUGCAGCGGAAAUACUUUUGGUUGCAACAAUCGACAAGCUUACGGUGACAAUGACAAAAAGAUUGAAGCGCAAAGCAGGACCAACU